rnacentral:rRNA from 1 species
UACGAAGGGGGCUAGCGUUGUUCGGAAUUACUGGGCGUAAAGGGAGCGUAGGCGGAUAGUUUAGUCAGAGGUGAAAGCCCAGGGCUCAACCCUGGAAUUGCCUUUGAUACUGGCUAUCUUGAGUAUGGGAGAGGUUAGCGGAACUCCGAGUGUAGAGGUGAAAUUCGUAGAUAUUCGGAAGAACACCAGUGGCGAAGGCGGCUAACUGGCCCAUUACUGACGCUGAGGCUCGAAAGCGUGGGGAGCAAACAGG